rnacentral:rRNA from 1 species
AUUGAACGCUGGCGGAAUGCUUUACACAUGCAAGUCGAACGGCAGCACGGGGGCAACCCUGGUGGCGAGUGGCGAACGGGUGAGUAAUACAUCGGAACGUGCCCGGUCGUGGGGGAUAACGUAGCGAAAGUUACGCUAAUACCGCAUACGAUCUGAGGAUGAAAGCGGGGGACCUUCGGGCCUCGCGCGAUCGGAGCGGCCGAUGUCAGAUUAGGUAGUUGGUGGGAUAAAGGCCUACCAAGCCGACGAUCUGUAGCUGGUCUGAGAGGACGACCAGCCACACUGGGACUGAGACACGGCCCAGACUCCUACGGGAGGCAGCAGUGGGGAAUUUUGGACAAUGGGCGCAAGCCUGAUCCAGCCAUUCCGCGUGCAUGACGAAGGCCUUCGGGUUGUAAACUGCUUUUGUAUGGAACGAAAAGGCUCUGGCUAAUACCUGGGGCUCAUGACGGUACCGUAAGAAUAAGCACCGGCUAACUACGUG